rnacentral:rRNA from 1 species
UACGUAGGGGGCGAGCGUUGUCCGGAGUUACUGGGCGUAAAGGGCACGCAGGCGGUGCGGCGCGUGUCGCGUGACAGCGGGUGGCUUAACUGCCCGAGGGUGCGACAGACGGCCGGACUUGAGGGCCAGAGAGGGACCUGGAAUUCCGGGUGGAGUGGUGAAAUGCGUAGAUAUCCGGAGGAACACCAAAGGCGAAGGCAGGGUCCUGGCUGGUGACUGACGCUGAGGUGCGAAAGCUAGGGGAG